rnacentral:rRNA from 1 species
UACGUAUGGUGCGAACGUUGUUCGGAAUCACUGGGCAUAAAGAGCACGUAGGCGGUUGAGCAAGUCCAUUGUGAAAUCCCCCGGCCUAACCGGGGAACUGCAUUGGAUACUAUCUAGCUAGAGGAGUGGAGGGGGGACUGGAAUACUUGGUGUAGCAGUGAAAUGCGUAGAUAUCAAGUGGAACACCAGUGGCGAAGGCGAGUCCCUGGACACUUCCUGACACUGAGGCACGAAAGCUAGGGGAGCAAACAGG